UCCCCGUUGCCGGGGCAGUCUACCUAGAAAAAUCCAACUAAGUAUAAGGGUUGCGCUCGUUAAAGGACUUAACCUAACAUCUCACGACACGAGCUGAAGACGGCCAUGCAACACCUGUCACUGAGUUCCGGCUUUCAAUGCACAUUGUAAAUAUAUCAACGAUAUAUCAUAUGCACUCAAAGCCGGCACUCACUGCUUUCACAGUAAUUCUCAGGAUGUCAAACCCUGGUAAGGUUCUUCGUUUACCAUCGAAUUAAAGAACAUGCUCCACCGCUUGUGCGGGUCCCCGUCAAUUCCUUUAUGUUUUAAGCUUGCGCUCGUACUCCACAGGCGGGAUGCUUAACGCGUUAGCUUCGCUACAGAAGGGGUCGAUACCUCCUACAGCUAGCAUCCAUCGUUU
rnacentral:misc_RNA from 1 species